UACGGGAGGCAGCGGUGGGGAAUAUUGCACAAUGGGCGAAAGCCUGAUGCAGCUAUGCCGCGUGUAUGAAGAAGGCCUUAGGGUUGUAAAGUACUUUCAUCGGGGAGGAAAAACAAAACUAAUAAUUUUAUUUCUUGACGUUACCCGAAAAAGAAGCACCGGCUAACUCCGUGCCAGCAGCCGCGGUAAUACGGAGGGUGCUAGCGUUAAUCAGAAUUACUGGGCGUAAAGAGCACGUAGGUUGGUUUUUUUAAGUCAGAUGUGAAAUCCCUGGGCUUAACCUAGGAACUGCAUUUUGAAACUGAAAUACUAGAGUAUCGUAGAGGGAGGUAGAAUUCUAGGUGUAGCGGUGAAAUGCGUAGAUAUCUGGAGGAAUACCUGUGGCGAAAGCGGCCUCCUAAACGAAUACUGACACUGAGGGUGCGAAAGCGUGGGGAGCAAACAGGGAUUAGAUACC
rnacentral:rRNA from 1 species